UAGAUUGAAGCCCGCUGGUUUGGGUUUUUAGUUGUUAACUAAAGGUUCAUGGGAUCAAAGCCCGUCAAUCUAGG
rnacentral:tRNA from 1 species